rnacentral:rRNA from 1 species
UACGGAGGGUGCGAGCGUUGUCCGGAAUCACUGGGCGUAAAGGGCGCGUAGGGGGCGCGGGCAGUCAACGGUGAAAGUUCGGGGCUCAACCCUGAAUCGGCCGUCGAUACUCCCGUGCUUGAGCACUGUAGAGGCAGAUGGAAUUCCGGGUGUAGCGGUGGAAUGCGUAGAGAUCCGGAAGAACACCGGUGGCGAAGGCGGUCUGCUGGGCAGUAGCUGACACUGAGGCGCGACAGCGUGGGGAGCAAACAGG